rnacentral:rRNA from 1 species
UGGGGAAUUUUGGACAAUGGGCGCAAGCCUGAUCCAGCCAUGCCGCGUGUCUGAAGAAGGCCUUCGGGUUGUAAAGGACUUUUGUCAGGGAAGAAAAGGCUGUUGCUAAUAUCGACAGCUGAUGACGGUACCUGAAGAAUAAGCACCGGCUAACUACGUGCCAGCAGCCGCGGUAAUACGUAGGGUGCGAGCGUUAAUCGGAAUUACUGGGCGUAAAGCGAGCGCAGACGGUUACUUAAGCAGGAUGUGAAAUCCCCGGGCUCAACCUGGGAACUGCGUUCUGAACUGGGUGACUAGAGUGUGUCAGAGGGAGGUAGAAUUCCACGUGUAGCAGUGAAAUGCGUAGAGAUGUGGAGGAAUACCGAUGGCGUAGGCAGCCUCCUGGGAUAACACUGACGUUCAUGCUCGAAAGCGUGGGUAGCAAACAGGAUUAGAUACCCUGGUAGUCCACGCCCUAAACGAUGUCAAUUAGCUGUUGGGCAACUUGAUUGCUUAGUAGCGUAGCUAACGCGUGAAAUUGACCGCCUGGGGAGUACGGUCGCAAGAUUA